GUGUUCAACUCAGCAGCGUGAACACUAAAAUUGAAAUGAUACAAAGAUUAGCAUGGCCCCUGUUCAAGGAUGACAAGAAAUUUACUAAAAGAAAUACACUUUGAA
ensembl:snRNA U6 U6 spliceosomal RNA